GCAUUGCUGAGGAGUCCCAUAAUAAGACGAAACGGCUGUUCAGUGC
rnacentral:hammerhead_ribozyme from 1 species